GCGCUCUUAAAGCUGCAGCGCGACUCCCGCCCGCGGUGGGGUUUCGCGCCUUCUCGCUGCUUGUGGCGCCCCUCAGCGCGGCGGGAGCGGCGCGGGACGCGGCCCCGUGAAGGGCUGUGGGGAGGAGGUUUGCCUUCAGCGGAGCGGUCUUUUCGACGCCAACGCCGAACGGGAGUAAUCUGUGGAGCUGAGAGAACUCUGAGUGAGGGGCGCUGAGCGGGAGAGCCCGGCAGCACCGAUGGCUGUGUGGUGGUGCCUGAACCCCUCAGAGGUGGGCUGUGCAGGCGUCGGAGCCCUGCUCCCCAGAACAGCAUUGCCAAGAGCAUCCCACCAUGGGUGCAGCCGUUCAGGAGCAUCUUCAGGGUGUCUUGAAAACUAAUGGAGUCUACAUUAUGUCAUCAGUCUGGUAGGAUCGGGUGGAGACGUGACAGCCUUGGAAUGGUAAGUACUGACCUUUGAACACUGACAGAGGAUGAGCAAGGGUCCAUAAAGCAGGGAAUGUAUUUGGGCUUCUAAAUUACCAUGAUUUUCCAGUAUUUGAAAGAUCAAUGGAAGAUUAUAACUGUACGUAUAAUGCUGAGUCUGUACCACCUUAAGACUUAAAAAAAAAGGCAAAGAAGACUUUGAGAAUUUUAGAUCAAAUUGCCUCAUCCCUUAAAUGAAAAUAAAAAUAAAAAUAGAAGGAUCUAUAAGGAUCUAGAUAGAAGGAAUCAAAGUAUCUACUUUCAGAUACUUCCAAGAUAAUACAAUGUUAUGACACAGUUAGCAUAAUAAUGUUGAAUCAAUACCCUUCUGACAGUCUAGCAGUUCUGGGCAGAUAGAGUAAAUCUUGACCUAAUGUGACUCUUGUGCUUUUCUCAUAAUUAUCCAAGGAAAUACAGUCCAGUCAGUACACCUCCAUAGCCUCAAAUAGUUGGGAAGUUUCUCCUGUAGAGUAGUUCCUAAUGGCCGACUGUCACCCGAUACUACAGAGGACAGGCAUCCUUGGCAGAAUGAGAACUGGCCACAGGGUUGUGGUUAUAAUUAGAGACUUGUUAUUACAAAUUUAGUAAUCAACAUAGCUUAUAAUCUACAAUUUCUAGGGCCUAACAUAGCUUACAGUUGCACAGGAUUUCUAGAGUUCUCAGUUAUGUGCACUUUCCAGUUACCUAAACCCUCUGUAGAUCUGGUCAAAAUCUUAACCAGCGCAUAAUACAAUAAUCACAACCUAGACUCAGGCUUUAAGUAGAAGAUCACACAAGUCAAAGGCUCACUCAGUCCUCAGAAGAAGAAUACAAUAGAGAAAGUGUUCCUGGCCACUGAAGGAUCUCAGGUUUUGCUGUUCAGCAGUAGCACUGUUCAAAGUCCCACACAGGGUUUGCUGCUGAUUCAUUUUAUAGAGAGUGCUCUCUGUACUUUCCUGUUCUAUGAUGGGUGUCACCAUGUUCUGGCAGCUCAGCACCUGGGGCUUGAUAAUGCUUGUGGCCUUCUCAUCCUGUUAAAGGGUGUCCCUCCAUGCUGGUACCAGAGAGGAGGAGAGAGAAGGGCAGAAGGUAAUACAUGAGCAGCCUCCUUAUGGAUGUUUACCUUAUUGUUGUUUAUGCUGUCUGUUAUCAAGGGGUACUAAUACUAAACUCACAAGUUUGGUACCAUUCUGUAUCUUUAUUGAUGGCCCAAAUCAUGAAAUAGCCAGUAUGUUUAGUAAAUUAUCAGGCUAGGAGGGCUCAAAAGCCCACUUGGUAUCAGGAUUCCAUUAUGAUAUUAUUGUGCCAAGCUGAAGAAAUGAUCUCAAAUGCAUGAAAUGGCAGGCAAGAGAAAAUGUUUCUGGCUAUAAAUACAAGCUGAGGAACAGCUGGUUAAUCAAGAGUUUUGGGGUAAUCCUAGAUCACAAACUGAUGAACCAACCAGUAGGAAAAAGGAAAAAAAUCCAGUUAUGCUAAGAUGAAUACUCAGGAGCAUUACACAUAAGGCCCAUGCAGUAAUCCUUUUGCUCCACUGCUAGUAAGGCCUCAGUGAGAAUACUAUAUUGUUUGAUGCUACCAUUUCAAUAAUUAUAUGAAUUCACUGAAAAUAGGCCAAAGGAAAGUCUGAAUUUUAGAAGAUGUGAUUCAUGAUUUGAAGAAUUGCAAUUCUUUGGAGAUGUAUGGGAAAGAGGAACAGUGUUGAAAUAUACAAAUAAUGCUGGAAGGAUAACAAGAAUGGCUGUUUUCUUUGUCCUCUGUCACUGAAUCAUAUAAAGUCUGAGGCUGAAAGGCCCUGGUGCUCCAACCCUCUGCUCAGAGCAGGGUCAGCUAUAGCAGGCUGCCCAGGGGCGUCUCCAGUGGAGUUUUGAGUAUCUCCAAAAAUGGGGACUCCACAACCUGCCUUGGCAAGCUGGGCCAGUCUUUGUCCACUCUCACAGUGAAAACGUUUUUUCUUAUCUGUAUGUAGAAUUUCUUGUAUUUCAGUUUAUGCCCUCUUGUACUGUCACUGGGUACCACUGAAAAGAGUCUGGCUCAGUCUUCUUUUCUUCCUCCCACCAGUAACAUAAACACAUUGAUAAGGUCAUCCUUGAGCCUUUUUUUGUUUUGUUUUGUUUUGUUUUGUUUUGUUUAUGUGGGGUUCUUUAAUUUGAGGCUAAACAAUCCUAUCUUUUAUCCCAGGUAAGAAAUAAUGAGUAGAAUUGCCAGAAAAAUGAGUUAGAUUAGACAGAAAGUCAGAAUCUGGAUAAAUAAGUAUGGGAAUGGACUGCUCACCGAAAUGAGCUGUGCUUGCAAACACCACUACUGGUUUUUAAGAACAGCUAAAAUGGGUUGAAAUACGAGAUUUGUGAACCCAACUGGUGCAUUAUGCAUGCAGCUGUUCUGCUGGCUGAUUUGAUUUGCCUCGAGCCUCCGUGUUAAUUAUAACGACAAAGAUAAAACUCGCCAGCAAUCUUAAAAACAGAUGCUAUUACUCUACCUUUAAUCAAACACAGCGUCCUCAGGCUAAUGCCAUUUAACAACACCAACUGUGGCCACAGGUUCGAUGCUUAGUUGGAGCAGCCAUUUAUCCUUUGGUUUUGUUCAAUCUGUUUGGAUUCAACUUAGGGAAGAUAAAAUGGAAAGCAGUCAUUCCUCAUGUAAAAGGCUUCCAAAAGGACUGGGCUGAAAAUAAUGUUUGCGUGCCAUAAGAAGGACUAACGGGAACAUUACUUGCUCUGGAGUGGAAAUGCAGACCCCAGUGCUGUACUGAUUUCAGGAGGGGAUUUUUUCAUCAUGUAAAAAUGCGAAGUUAGAAUAAGAACCACUAUUUCUUAGGGCCACAGUGAACGUGAAUGAAAGCACAGAAGUUCAGGUCUCUCAUUCCUUUCAUAGAAGUUUUUCUGCCGCAGCACGCAUCGGUGGUGCCAGCUCAGCGCUGAGCGCAGCCCUCACCGCGCAGUGCUCUCUGUACUCUGGGAGAGUCCCUUUCAACCAAACCGGAUUGUAUUCCGCUCCGUUCCUCUCCGUUCCGUUCCGGGCUCUCCCGCGGCUCCCAGUCGCUCCCUGCCGGCCGCCGGCUGCCGCUCGCUUCCUGGAGCGGCGUCAAGCCGUGGUAGCGUCAUGCAUAGAGCUACGGCGGUAGUCGGCUGGAACGAACAAAGUCCGUGUUUUCCAAGUGCAAUAAUGCAGCUGGUUCAGCUGGUCCUGAGGAAGAUAAUUCUGUGACGCUGUAAAAUCGCGUUAAGUAGUAGUGCAGCAAUAGCGCAUUUUCUUGAUGUACCUCUUGGCUGUACAGUGAGGGUUAAAUGAUCAUUCCUUGACAUCACGAGUUUCUUCCACUGACUGGAUUCUGCUGGGAAUAAGGUUGGUGGGAAACUUAUUUCUUGAUUCAAGCCUAAGUAGCAUCAGCUUUUAAACAUGGAAGUUUCCUAGAGCCUGGAUUUGCCAAGAGUGUCUGCUGCACAUAGCCCACUCCUGUCGUGUGCUGAAGUGCCCAGAUGAACUAACAGAAGUUGGGCCUUUCUUCCUCUGUCAUUUACACAAAUACACUCACUUCUGCACAACUCCUUGCAACUUUGGCAGUGCAAUCCUCGAGGCAGAAAGUACAAUAAGGAAGAUCCUAAGCACAAAAAACUCCUUGGCUUUCCUGCCUCCGAGGGAGAGGAACAUUGCAGGAAAGUAUGCAUCAGGAGUGGACAACUAGUGAAUGAGGCUCUGCUUGGAUCCCAUCUGGAAAUGGUUAUCAGUAUUAUAUGGAGCUUGAAGCAUGUCAUGUGCAAGUAGGGUUCUAGAAGCCUCCUUUGGAACCCACAUCUGAAAGCGUCCCGUUUUGUGGUGUUUUUGUUUUUAAUGCUGAAUGUUUCUAAGUUGUUUGUUUUAACUGAACUGCAGGAACCCAAGGCUUCCAAUUGCAUGCAAACCUGCCCUAACCUGACACCUUUUAUGAGCUUAAAAAAAAUACCGGAGGAACGUAGGCUUCUACUAGAGCCUGCCACCAAAGCGCGGAAGCAUCCUGCCAACGUGUUUACUCACUGCUGUAAUGAACACGUGCAAGAUUAGAAAGUUUGUUUAGGCAUUACUGGAAACCUUUUUCCAUCACAGUCCUUUCAGCUGUUUCACAAGCACUGAGCAGGAAAUUCGGCCUUUGGGCUCAUGCGUAAGGUACGUGUAGUGGUGAGGGCAGACUUAGCAGUGCCAAGCUGUAACCCAGGGAGCUGCCUAGGGAGUGCACUGUGGGUCACCACCAGACUAAGGUACAGGAACUUGCAAUGACAUGAACAACAGAGGGAAGUAAGAGUCACAGCCUAAAUUGGCUCUUUUGUCAGUGUCAUGUAAUGUGCUUGGGAUGGUUUGUCUGCGUAUGGCACAACUGCAAUAUAAUUGCAAACAUCAAGAAAUGAGUAUGUAGACUUAGGUGGGUUGGGAUGGCUGUAACGUAAAUCUGAGGCAGGGGAGGAGCUACAGCCCAGCGAUGCAGAGAGCCAAUUUCUCUGCUCUAUAAAACACAUCCUGCGAUUUCCUGCUCAUGUAUUGCUUCUUAGUGUAGUCAAGCACAAACUAUUUAAGGCAGCGAUUCACUGUGCAUGCAAUUGUAUGCUAUGUAAUAAUAAUUAUGUGUCUAAUUGCUAUUGCAAAAAAAAAAAAAAAAAAAGUAUGAUAAUAAUAAUAAUAAUAAAAGCUAUGAUUCCUGCCUUCCAAAGUAG